CACCGCGGUUAUACGAGAGGCCCAAGUUGAAAAACACCGGCGUAAAACGUGGUUAGAUUAAAAUUAAACUAAAGUCAAACAUCUUUAGGGCUGUUAUACGUGCCCAAAGACAGGAGCUUCAAUCACGAAAGUAACUUUAUGUAAAUUGAACCCACAAAAGCUAUACCU
rnacentral:rRNA from 2 species